rnacentral:rRNA from 1 species
UACAGAGGUGGCAAGCGUUGUUCGGAAUUACUGGGCGUAAAGGGCGCGUAGGCGGUCUUGUAAGUCUUGUGUGAAAUCCCUCGGCUUAACUGAGGAACUGCACGGGAUACUGCAUGACUUGAGAUCGGGAGAGGGAAGCGGAAUUCCGGGUGUAGCGGCGAAAUGCGUAGAUAUCCGGAGGAACACCGGUGGCGAAGGCGGCUUCCUGGACCGACACUGACGCUGAGGCGCGAAAGCUAGGGGAGCGAACGGG